rnacentral:rRNA from 1 species
UCCCCUUCGGGGGACAAAGUGACAGGUGGUGCAUGGUUGUCGUCAGCUCGUGUCGUGAGAUGUUGGGUUAAGUCCCGCAACGAGCGCAACCCUUAAGCUUAGUUGCCAUCAUUAAGUUGGGCACUCUAAGUUGACUGCCGGUGACAAACCGGAGGAAGGUGGGGAUGACGUCAAAUCAUCAUGCCCCUUAUGAUUUGGGCUACACACGUGCUACAAUGGACAAUACAAAGGGCAGCGAAACCGCGAGGUCAAGCAAAUCCCAUAAAGUUGUUCUCAGUUCGGAUUGUAGUCUGCAACUCGACUACAUGAAGCUGGAAUCGCUAGUAAUCGUAGAUCAGCAUGCUACGGUGAAUACGUUCCCGGGUCUUGUACACACCGCCCGUCACACCACGAGAGUUUGUAACACCCGAAGCCGGUGGAGUAACCUUUUAGGAGCUAGCCGUCGAAGGUGGGACAAAUGAUUGGGGUGAAGUCGUAACAAGGUAGCCGUAUCGGAAGGUGCGGCUGGAUCACCUCCUUU